CUUUACUGUAACCUGGAAUUGGGUUCGGGCUUUGCUUGCGCAGGAUAGGUGGGAGGCAUUGAAGAUUUCCUUCCGGGGAAGUUGGAGCCAUCAGUGAGAGACCACUCUGGAGAGGCUAGAAUCCUAAUGGUGAUCCUUUGAUCAGGACACUUGACGUUUUCAGGUGGGCAGUUUGUUUGGGGCGAACACCUCAUAAAAGGUAACUGAGGUGCGCAAAGGUUCCCUCGGUCUGGACGGAAAUCAGACUAAAGAGUGUAAAGGCAAAAGGGAGCUUGACUGUAAGACCUACAAGUCGAACAGGGGCGAAAGCCGGCCUUAGUGAUCCGACGGUUCCAUGUGGAAGGGCCGUCGCUCAACGGAUAAAAGUUA
rnacentral:rRNA from 1 species